UGAAAUUGGGUUGUUUCAUACACAUUCACAGAGGAAGAUUAUAAGGCAUAAGAACGACUGGCCAUGUGCUAUGAGAAACUGACAUCAUACUAAAUGGAUUAAAUCCAUCGCUUGCAAGUCCCAAUCUGAUAUUACGUGGUUCAGACGAAAAAUCGGGAUAUCGAUCGUCAAAUUGUGUCCAUUGAAAUGAAUCUGCCGGAUGACGAAGAAUUCCAUCUUUUUUCCGAUCAUUUUUAUGCCAAGUCAUUCCUUUAGAAAUAUCGUUACG
rnacentral:lncRNA from 1 species